GCUUUCUUAGUGUAAUGGUAGCACACUCGGCUCGUAUCCGAGAGGUCCAGGUUCGAGUCCCAUCAAAGGCA
rnacentral:tRNA from 1 species